UACGAAGGGGGCUAGCGUUGCUCGGAAUGACUGGGCGUAAAGAGCUCGUAGGCGGCCUGUUGCGUCCGCUGUGAAAGCCCGGGGCUUAACCCCGGGUCGGCAGUGGAUACGGGCAGGCUAGAGGUAGGUAGGGGAGAAUGGAAUUCCCGGUGUAGCGGUGAAAUGCGCAGAUAUCGGGAGGAACACCGGUGGCGAAGGCGGUUCUCUGGGCCUUACCUGACGCUGAGGAGCGAAAGCGUGGGGAGCGAACAGG
rnacentral:rRNA from 1 species